UACGAAGGGGGCUAGCGUUGCUCGGAAUCACUGGGCGUAAAGGGUGCGUAGGCGGGUCUUUAAGUCAGGGGUGAAAUCCUGGAGCUCAACUCCAGAACUGCCUUUGAUACUGAGGGUCUCGAGUCCGGGAGAGGUGAGUGGAACUGCGAGUGUAGAGGUGAAAUUCGUAGAUAUUCGCAAGAACACCAGUGGCGAAGGCGGCUCACUGGCCCGGUACUGACGCUGAGGUGCGAAAGCGUGGGGAGCAAACAGG
rnacentral:rRNA from 1 species